rnacentral:rRNA from 1 species
CCUACGGGAGGCAGCAGUGAGGAAUAUUGAGCAAUGGGCGCAAGCCUGACUCAGCAACGCCGCGUGGGCGAUGAAGGCCUUCGGGUUGUAAAGCCCUUUUGGCAGGGACGAGUGAGGACGGUACCUGCCGAAUAAGUCUCGGCUAACUACGUGCCAGCAGCCGCGGUAAAACGUAGGAGGCGAGCGUUAUCCGGAUUUACUGGGCGUAAAGCGCGCGUAGGCGGUCGGUCAAGUCAGAUGUUAAAGCCCCUGGCUCAACUAGGGGAGGUCAUUUGUUACUGUCCGGCUUGAGGGUGAGAGAGGAGAGUGGAAUUCCCGGUGUAGCGGUGGAAUGCGUAGAGAUCGGGAGGAACACCAGUGGCGAGGGCGGCUCUCUAGGCUACUCCUGACGCUGAGGCACGAAAGCUAGGGGAGCAAACGGGAUUAGAUCCCCCUGUAGU